UCAGAAGUAGCGGCGAAAUCGUGGGGUGGCAGUUGUGGUUGCGGUGUCAACGGCGAUCGUCAGUGGGUGUCUGAUAAUUGCAUGAUGUAAUUUCAGUUUUUAUAACUGCUUUUGUACUUUCUGAGUUAUGCGAGUAAGCGACGUUCUUUGGCUGGCGUACGUGAAAGUAUACAGUUUGAUAGCAGCUCACGAAAGUGAAGCACAUUUUAGGUUUCGUGCGAGUAAUAGGCACAGUCCAAUAGCGAUAAAUUUUUGCGAACCUCGUUGCGCUUGCGGUUUUUUAGGAAACCGCAAACCGACAAAACUGCCAAUUUGCGCUUUAUAGAUUAACAGACGCAACGCUCAAGUGUAAGAGGUGGUUGAAUUGGAGAGAAAAAUGAGCAAACAAAUCGUUCAGCGAGCCAAUCGCCCUUGCCCAAAAAAAUAAUAAAUAAUACUAAGCCAUACCGGAUUUUCCUUAUCGCCUUUAUCCAUCCAUCUUAGGAUGUUUGGGCAACAACUCAGGAUUUUUGGGCAUGGAACGCCCAUGAGAUGUCCUGACGAAAAAACAUUGUUUCUCAGCGAACAACAGCAGUUUGGUUUCGAGAAUGUUGGAUGCAAAAGUCAAGAUCGACUUCGAAAAAAAAAAAAACAACAGAAAAAAGCAGUAAAAAGCAGUAAAAGUCGAAGUUUAGCCGAACAUUUGCUAACUUUGUAUUCCUUCGGAAAAUUUGCUACAAAAACAUUGAACAAAAAAUCAAAUAUUUCACUCUACAUUUUUUCUUUUUUCAUUACAUUUAGUUUAAAAUGGAUGAACAAUUUAUUAUAUAUUUACAUUUAUGAUAGAAACACGAAAAAGAUGAUGGGACUUACAGGCAGCUCAUAGCGAAAAAUGGAGCGAAGUUUAAAUAAAAAUUUACUCAAAACUGCAAUUACAGUAAAGCAUCGCAAAACUGUUUUACAAAUAUAACUCAAUACAAAAUCCA